GUGAAUGCACUCCAUGAAAAAGAGGGGAUGAGAGGAAGGGAAGGAGAGUGAGUAGAGGGGAAGUGGAAAGCAAAACUCCCAAUUGGAGACUAUGGAGAAGGAGAAGGAGAAGGAGAAAGAGAAGGAUUGGUUUAAUUCAAAGGAGGAAGCAUUCUCAUACUACAAAGAAUACGCCAAAUCGGUGGGUUUCUCGGCCAUCAUAAAAGCGAGUCGUCGAUCUCGAAUCUCAGGGAACUUCAUCGACGCCAAAUUCGCUUGCACGAGAUGCGGCGUCUCCAACACUCUCAAAAGAAAACGUGGCCCAACCAAAACGGAUUGCAAGGCCUGCAUGCAUGUCAAGAGAACGCACCACGGUACAUGGAUCAUCUCUUCUUUUGUUGAGCACCAUAAUCACGACACCUUCCCUUACCAUUACACCAACAAUGCAACUCCAAACACAUCAAUCUCUUCCAAAUCUAAUCAAACCAAACUGCAUAAGCAUUUCCCUUUUGCCCAUCAAGACCUUCACUCCUUGCUUCACCAUUUUAUCUCUAUGCAAGUGGAAAACCCUAACUUCUUCUACGCUGUCGAUUUCCACCACGACCAGCGUUUCAAGACCGUUUUCUGGGUCGAUGCUAAGGCCAGGCUUGAUUACAGGCAUUUCAGCGACGUGGUUCUGUUCGACACCACGCACCUCAAGAAUGACUACAAGCUUCCCUUCGUUCCCUUUCUGGGUGUGAACCAUCACUUUCAGUUCAUGUUGCUGGGAUUGGCAUUCCUGUCUGAUCAGUCCGAAUCCACGUUUGCGUGGCUCAUGCGCGCCUGGCUGAGGGCAAUGGGUGGAAUUGCUCCCAAGGUGAUUCUUACUGACCAGGAUCAAGCGCUCAAGGAGGCUGUUGCCAUGGCCAUUCCGGAUUCUUGUCAUUGUUUUUGUCUGUGGCAUGUGUUCAGUAAGGUUCCGGAGAAGCUCGGUUGCGUCAUGCAUCAGCAUGAGGAUUUUGCUGCCACGUUUAACAAGUGUGUUAUCAAGUCCAGGACAAAGGAGCAAUUUGAGAAGAGGUGGGGGGAAAUGGUUGAGAGAUUUGAUUUAGGUGAUAACGGUUGGUUGCGUUCAGUUUAUGAGGACCGCCAACGGUGGGUACCGGUAUAUAUGAAAGGCAGAGUUUUGGCAGGGAUGUCUACUGUGCAGAGAUCGGACUCUAUGAACUGUCUGUUGGACAGAUAUAUGCAGAGGAAAACAACAUUGAAGGAGUUUUUGGAGCAGUACAAAGUGGUGUUGCGUGAUAAGUGUGAAGAGGAAGCAAAAGCAGAGUUUGAAACGCUGCAUAAACAGCCGGUGUUGAAAUCGCCAUCGCCUUUUGGGAAACAGAUGGUGGAGUUAUACACGCAUGAAAUAUUUAAGAAAUUCCAGAGCGAGGUUUUGGGAGUUGUUGCUUGUCAUCCAAGAAAGGAAAGUGAGGAUGGACCGCGAAUAAUGUUUAGAGUUCAGGAUUUUGAAGACAAUCAAGAUUUUGUUGUCAUGUGGAAUGAAUUGACCUUGGAAGCUUCGUGUUCCUGUUAUUUGUUUGAAUUCAAUGGCUUUCUUUGUAGGCAUGUAAUGAUUGUGCUACAGAUUUCUGGUGUGCAUAGCAUCCCGUCUCGGUAUAUAUUGAAACGCUGGACAAAAGAUGCCAAGGGUAGAGAAACAUCAAGAGAUAUGUCAGAUGUGGUUGUCUCAAACUCAAGGGCUACGCGCUAUGAUAAUUUGUGUCAACGAGCCUUUGAGCUGGGUGAUGAAGGGUCUUUGUCACAAGAGAGUUACAUUGCUGCUGUAAAUGCGUUGGAAGAAGCUCUUAGAAAGUGUGAGAGCCUGAAGGAGUCAAUUCAGAAUGUCAUAGAACUGAAUCCACCAAUUUUUGGUUCUCAACAGACAAAUCUGAGGAAUAGUGUUGAUCAUACUAACAAAAAGAACAGUACUCUUAAGAAAAGACAGGUAAGCCCCGAACCAGAGAUCAUUGCUAUGGGAGUCAAUUCCAGCUGGCAGCAAGUGGAAAACGGAAAACCCCAAUACACGGGCAGCUGACCCUGAUUGUUCAUGUGAAUCACAGCAGAGCAUUCAAAAGAUGGAUCAGCUGAACUCAAGGCCUCAGAACCUGGAUGACUAUUUUGCUACUCAACAAAUUAGUUCAGGAAUGUUGAACUCGAUAGCUGCUAUUCGUAAUGAUUAUUACAGCAACCAGCAUGGCAUCCAAAGGCUGGGACAGUCGUACUCAAUUGCACCCAUCCAUGGUGCCCAUUACAUGGCCCCACAAAGAAUGCAUGGGAUGGUAUGGAUACCAGUAUAUGAUUGCAAUUCUAAUACAUUGUUAUUUGACAUUAAUGAUUAUUGAGGAAUAAGAAAUUUGUAAAUGAUAAGAUAUGCUGACAAUAACCAAGCUUUAUCAGACUAGAUACAGCCAGUUACAGGGAUAAACUUAAACCAUUGUACUCCAUCAAAAAUAAAAAUUAAAUGAGAGAGAGAAAAACAUAUAAUUCAAACAUUUAAUGUUUAAUUUUCAGCACCUUUGCCUGGUAAAUGAUUAUUGGUUUUAUUUACUUGUCUCUUCAUAGGAGGAAAAGACAAGAGUAUUUUACUCUUUCUUGGCUGAUUUAUCUCAAUGACACCUUGAUUUGAUCCUAAAAUUGAUGGAUUUACCUGGUAAAUAUUCUUGGUUUUAUUUGUCUCUUCAUAGAAGGGGAAAAGACAAGAAUAUUUUACUGGUUCGUGGAUGAUUUAUCUGAAAAAGACACCUUGAUUUUAUCUCAAUGACAUGUUGAUUUUAUCCUGAAAUUGAUGGGGUAAACGUUCUUGAUUUUAUUUGUCUCUUCAUAGAAGGGGAAAAGACACUGGUUCUUGAAUGAUUUAUCUCAAAGACACCUUGAUUUGACCCAAAAUUGAUGGAUGUUGAAUUAUAAUGCUUCCUGCAUUUUGGUGUGAUGAUUGUAUGACAUUUACUAUGAUGAUAAUUUUUCCCAAUACUUGUAGGCACUGUUACAUUUCAGGCAAGAAGUAAUCCCAAAUGAUUUAGAUGUUUAAGAUGGUUCACCAAAUGUGGUAGUAUAGUAGAGUCACACCCAGGAUUUUCAUAUAUUUUAUAUUUUUUUCUCCAUCCGUUUAAUUCCUUAAAACUCACUUUGUUUUGUAGGAUCAGCCUACUGGAGGAUCCACACUACUACAAGGGAUGGAGGCAAAUGUGAAACAGCUAAAUUCAAUGCACCGUUCUCAGUAGUUAGGCUAUAACUAAUUGUUUAUCAGCUCGAAUGUGUUUUAGCUAAUUUUAUGUUUUUAUUAGAAUUCUUUUUAAUCGAAAGAAAUAUAUGAUAUUGAAUGAAAUCAAGUAGGACCAGGCAUUCUUUGAUGAUCCUAGAUUGACUCCUGCUAUUUUGGCGUAGGUAGAAUUUUUGUUUCUGAACUUGUCAAAGUGCAUCAUCAUGCAAUACCAUAUCAUCAAGCAAGCAGUAUCCCUUCUAUAUGCGUUAAAGCAGCUGAUUUCCUGUAAUAACAUUUUUUACAUUUACUAAAAUGAUAACAGAUUAAUAGCUUGCUG